CAUGGACCCUUGCUUGGUUACCUGCUGUACCAUGCUAUCUUGCAAUAUAUGUGGUAUAACAGUAACCUCAGAACCAGACAUGAAGGCUCACCUAAUUGUUCACAUGGAAAAUGAAGUUACAUGUCCAUUUUGCAAGUUGUCAGGUGUGAAUUAUGAUGAAAUGUGUUUUCAUAUUGAAGCUGCUCAUUUUGAGCAAAAUGAACUAGAAAAAAACUUUGAGAGGAUUAAUACAAUACAGUAUGGAACUUCCAAUAGCAGGAAGGACAGCACCCUACAGUGUAGAAUGGAAGUUAAUUCAAGUAUUCAUUCAGCUUGUGCAUCUAAUCAUCCGAAAAUUUCAGCUCAAGGCCCGCCUAAUAAUGGUAUUUUAAAACAUAAAGGCUUUUAUUCAGAGAACUUAACUGAAUCUAGAAAAUUCCUGAAAAGUAAGGAAAAACAGUCUGACCGAACCAAAAUUAAAGGAUCAAUUUAUGAAGCAGUGUAUAGUCCUCCUGAAUGUCCAUUCUGUGGAAAAAUAGAAGGUUGUAGUCAAGAUAUGGAAACUCAUGUGAAAACAGAGCAUGCUGAUAUUUUAGACACUCCAUUAGAAGAUUGUAAUCAACCACUCUAUGACUGCCCUAUAUGUGGGCUCAUCUGUACAAAUUACCAUAUUCUCCAGGAACAUGUUGACUUGCAUUUGGAAGAAAGCAGCUUUGGACAAGGUAUGGAUAGAGUCCAGUGUUCUAGAGAUCUAGAAUUGGCUCAACAGCUUCAACAAGAAGAAGACAGAAAGAGGAGAUCUGAAGAAUCAAGACAAGAAAUGGAAGAAUUUCAGAAGCUGCAGAGACAGUAUGGUUUAAAUAAUUCUGGAGGGUACAAACAACAGCAGCUACGAAAUAUGGAGAUAGAAGUAAAUAGGGGAAGAAUGCAUCCUUCUGAAUUUCAUAGAAGAAAAGCUGAUAUGAUGGAAUCACUAGCUAUUGGUAUUGAUGAUGAAAAAACAAAAACUUCUGGAAUUAUGGAAGCACUUUAUAGGUAUUAUCAGAAUGCUGCCACAGAUGUGAGGCGUGUGUGGCUUUCUACAGUAGUGGAUCACUUUCAUUCAUCUUUUGGUGACAAAGGUUGGGGUUGUGGUUACAGAAAUUUCCAAAUGCUGCUUUCAUCAUUAUUGCAAAAUGAUGCAUAUGAUUGCUUGAAAGGCAUGUCAGUUCCUUGCAUUCCAAAAAUUCAGUCUAUGAUUGAAGAUGCAUGGAAGGAAGGUUUUGAUCCCCAGGGUGCCUCUCAACUUAAUAACAGGUUACAGGGAACGAAGGCCUGGAUUGGAGCAUGUGAAGUAUAUACACUUCUGACCUCCCUAAGGAUAAAGUGUCGUAUUAUUGACUUUCACAAGUCAACUGGCCCUUUGGGUACACACCCUCGCUUAUUUGAAUGGAUAUUGAGCUACUAUUCUUCAGAAAGAGAAGGGAGUCCAAAAGUAGUGUGUACAUCUAAACCUCCUAUCUAUCUUCAGUAUCAAGGUCAUAGUCAAACAGUUGUUGGAAUUGAAGAGAGAAAAAACCGAACAUUAUGUCUACUUGUAUUUGAUCCUGGAUGUCCUUCUCGAGAAAUGCAGAAACUCUUAAAACAAGACACAGAAGCUAGCAGUGUCAAGCAACUUCGGAAAUUUGUGGGGAAUUUAAAACAUAAGCAGUACCAGAUAGUGGCAGUAGAGGGUGUUCUUUCUUCAGAGGAGAAAAUUGCCAGGAGACAAGCUUCUCAAGUCUUUACAGCUGAGAAGAUCCCUUGAAGAAUGCUGCGUGGCUUAUGGGAUCUUAGCUCCCUGACCAGGGAUUGAACCAGCACACCCUGCACUGGAAGGUGAAGUCUUAACCACUGGACCGCCAGGACUGAGAGGUUUCUCAGGAUGCAGAACUUUCAGAGCUCAAUCAGGACGGUUCCAGGUUAACACAGGGGGGUCGAGUCUUCCAUGGAAGGAGUCACGAGAAAAAAAGUUCUGGAUGAAGGGGGCGUGCAGAUAUGGAAGGAGGCAACGCAAGGUACCAUCGGAGACUGGAAACAUCACUUGACCAUGGAGCAAAAUGAAACAUUUGACAGAGUGUUCCAAAGGAAGAUGAAAUAUUUUCCCUUGAAUUUCAUCUGGGACAUAAAUGAGGAGUAGAAUCAAUACAAAAGAAUCAUAAAAAUCUAAAAAUCUACUAAAAAUCAUAAAAAUCUACUAAAAAUCAUAAAAAUCUACUAAAUCUACUAAAACUCAUAAAAAUCUACUAAAUUUACUAAUCUACUAAUCAUACUAAUCUACUAAAUCUACUAAAUGCCAUUGUUGCAUAUCAGAAAUCUUAGAUUUAGUAGAUUCCAACUUAAUCCUUAAAAGUGAGCUAAAAGGCAAGACAAGAAUAUCAAAGAGUUUUCAGUUCUACAGUCAGACCAGGUUUUGCAUCAUAAUGCUAAUGCUUACUAAAUAUUUGCCCUUGGGAAAUUUAGUUCACCUCCCUACACCUCUUGUUUUCUUAUUUAUGAAAUGACACUUCAUUCAUUUUUUGUUAAUAAUAAAGGAGAUAAUUCAUGUGAAAAUCUAACUCCAUUCUGGUAUGCAGAAGGUGCCAAUAUUUAUUUUUUUAAGCACAAGAUUUCAUUUCCAUUGCUAAUCCAAAUUCUGUUUGAGAAGAAAAAAAGGAGAAAGGAGGAGAAAAGGAACGUUUCUCUCCAGACGUAUAACAUUCCUAAGCCAACACUUGUGGAAGUUACGAGCGCUUCGAUCAAAGGAGUUCAGAAAGACAGGAGGUGGUGAACCAGGGGUGGGGCACAAGGGAUGAGAAAUUCUUUUCUAUGCAAGAAUCAGAGCCCUUUAUAUCCUAGUUUAAAGCAGCAUCUUAUGAAAAUCACAGUUUUUCUUAGGAAAGAUAGAUAGAGUGAUGAGCAAUUGAAAUGAAAGCAAGUGAGGCAGCCAGCCUUCCUACGUUGGCCAUGAAUCAGCAGAGAGAUACAAGUGAGUGCAGAAUCUGAUGGUUGGAGCUGGUGGCAUCCACUCCACUGCUGGCCUCAGACUAAAUGCAUUGCUUCUCGUUCAACCAGACUUAAUACCAGAAACCCAGAUUAUAGAGAAGCAGGCAAAAAUCCAGGAGCAGAAGUAAGCCGUUAGAAAUGUAACUGAAAAAAUAUCCUAUUCACAAUAGCUAGAAAUACUAUCUACACAUGCUUAAGAAUAAACUUAAGAAAUGAGCAAGGCUUUUAUAAGAACUAAGUUCUUUAUCAAAUGAUCUGAAAGAAAAUACAAACAAAUGAUGAGCAUACACUAUUUCUGGUUGGGAAGACUCAUUUGUAAUGAUGUCAGAUUUUAAAUUACUUUUUAAGUGUAAAGCAAUCUUUUAAAAAUUCCAACAUUAUUCCUUAUGAGAGUUUAAUAAUUUAUUUUAAAUUAAAAUGUCAAUUCCUUGGAAAGAAAAGUAUAUCAGCAGAAUAAUGUGUCAUUAUACAUGAGUCAAUUAUGUACAUAUAAAUAUUUAUAAAUGAUAAUGUCUCUUUUUAUCAGUAAGUUAAUGAUGGGCCAUUCAAUAAAUGAUGUUGGGUCAGUUUGUUAUCUAUAUGAAAAAAUUGUUUUCUUACAACAUAAGAAUAAUAUCCAGAGUAAAUAAACAUAUGAUUUGUAAAUACAUGAAAAUAUUUGAAUAGCGAUCCUUCUAAUUAAAUCUCAAAAGCUAAAGGCCAUAAAAUAAAAGAUCGAUUCAUUUGACUAUAUGAAAAUUAAAAUCUUAAAUAUGAAAA